rnacentral:tRNA from 1 species
GGAUUGUGGCUCAGUGGCAGAGCGCUUGCCUCGAAAGUAUGAGGCACUGGGUUCCAUCCUCAGCACCA